GGUCCUAUCGCCCAAUGGAUAGGGCGCAUCCCUCCGGAGGAUGAGAUUUGGGUUCGAUUCCCAAUGGGACUA
rnacentral:tRNA from 1 species